UACGGGGGGAGCAAGCGUUGUUCGGAAUUACUGGGCGUAAAGGGCGCGUAGGCGGCACGGCAAGUCGGGAGUGAAAGCCCGGGGCUCAACCCCGGAACGUCUUUCGAAACUGCCGAGCUAGAGUGCGGAAGGGGCAACUGGAAUUCCCAGUGUAGCGGUGAAAUGCGUAGAUAUUGGGAAGAACACCUGAGGCGAAGGCGGGUUGCUGGGCCGACACUGACGCUGAGGCGCGAAAGCCAGGGGAGCGAACGGG
rnacentral:rRNA from 1 species